rnacentral:ncRNA from 19 species
UUCUUAUCAAGAGCGGCGGAGGGAUAGGCCCUAUGAAGUCCGACAACCGACAUUUUGUGCAUCGGUGUCAAUUCCUACAGAGUGUGUUAAUACUCUGAAAGAUAAGAA